rnacentral:rRNA from 1 species
AGUUUGAUCAUGGCUCAGAUUGAACGCUGGCGGGGAUGCUUUACACAUGCAAGUCGAACGCAGCACGGACUUCGGUCUGUGGCGAGUGGCGAACGGGUGAGUAAUGUAUCGAACGUGCCUAGUAGCGGGGGAUAACUACGCGAAAGCGUAGCUAAUACCGCAUACGCCCUUCGGGGGAAAGCGGGGGACCUUCGGCCUUCGCACUAUUAGGAGCGGCCGAUAUCGGAUUAGCUAGUUGGUGGGGUAACGGCUCACCAAGGCGACGAUCCGGGGCUGGUUUGAGACGACCAGCCACACUUUAUUGGGACUGAGACACGGCCCAGACUCGCCGGAGGCAGCAGGGGAAUUUUGGACAAUGGGGAAACCCUGAUCCUGCUUGCAUCCUGCGUGUGCGAUGAAGGCCUUCGGGUUGUAAGCACUUGCAGGAAAGAAACGGCACGGGAUAAUACCCUGUGCAACUGACGGUACCUGCAGAAUAAGCACUGGCUAACUACGUGCCAGCAGCCGCGGUAAUACGUAGGGUGCAAGCGUUAAUCGAAUUACUGGGCGUAAAGCGUGCGCAGGCGGUUCGGAAAGAAAGAUGUGAAAUCCCAGAGCUUAACUUUGAACUCAUUUUACCUACCGAGCUAGAGUGUGUCAGAGGAGGUGGACCCGCGUAGCAGUGAAAUGCGUAGAUAUGCGGAGGAACACCAGAUGGCGAAGGCAGCCUCCGAACACUGACGCUCAUGCACGAAAGCGUGGGGAGCAAACAGGAUUAGAUACCCUGUAGUCCACGCCCUAAACGACGUCAACUAGCUGCCAGCCUUUCGCCCUGGUAGCGCAGCUAACGCGUGAAGUUGACCGCCUGGGAGUACGGUCGCAAGAUUAAAACUCAAAGGAAUUUGAUGGGGACCCGCACAAGCGGUGGAUGAUGUGGAUCAAUUCGAUGCAACGCGAAAACCUACCUUACCCUUGACAUGUUCAAAUCCCGAAGAGAUUUGUAUGUGCUCGCAAGAGAACCGGAACACAGGUGCUGCAUGGCUGUCGUCAGCUCGUGUCGAUGUUAAGCCAAGUCCCGCAACGAGCGCAACCCGUCAUUAGUUGCUGCCAGAAAGGGCACUCUAAUGAGACUGCCGGUGACAAACCGAGGAAGGUGGACACGCUCUAAGUCCUCAUGGGGUCCCUCUGGCGGGUAGGGUCACACGUCACACAAUGGUCGGGACGAGGGUCGCCAACCCGCGAGGGGGAGCCAAUCCUGAAACCCGAUCGUAGGUCCGGAUCGCAGUCUGCAACUCGACUGCGUGAAGUCGGAAUCGCUAGUAAUCGCGGAUCAGCAUGUCGGGUGGCAGGAACACAGUUCCGGCUCUGUACACACCGCCCGUCACACCAUGGGAGUGGGUUUUACCAGAAGUAGUUAGCCUAACCAAGGAGGGCGAUUACCACGGUAGGAUUCAUGACUGGGGUGAAGUCGUAACAAGGCAG